UUUUGGGACCCACUACUAGCAUUGGAUUCCUUUGGCGCCUUUGACCGCUUCUUGCUUCACGAGCUCAGCAAUAGAGGCUGCCUCACUGUCUUAGAUCCGUUUUCCAGGAGCUUGGUGAGAAACUACAAUGGCGGAUGCUAGCGAGGAAGAAAGCAGCCAUCCCGUAGAUGGUACAGACCCAGCAAGUGGUUCCGUUUUGGUUGAAGAGGCUGCCGUUCUAAACUGCUACCCAUUCUUGCUGCGGUCGCACUUCAACCAGCAGUUGGGUAGACAAAUUGGUUUUUGUUUCAUACGAUUCGGUUAUGUAAAUAAUAGGUUUUAGGUUAAUAUGUUCUGCAUCAAACCUCUUUGUUGUGACAUUUGGUUUGCUAUUUUCAUUUGUCUCUUUGUCACGAGCAAAUCAGGUGGAGGUUUGACAUUCCAGGGACUGGUAAUGAGGGCCACCAAUGGAGUUUUGAACUGUCAUUCUGGUAAAAUUAGUGGAAAAACCGUUCCUAGGCAUGUUCAACCUGAGCAAAUCUGGGUUCAUGCAGUAGUUCAGCAAAAUUCAGAAACUUCACCAAAGGACCAUGACAAACAAGAGAAAGCACCGGGCAGGUUUUGCCAAAUUCAGACCAAAUUGCAUCAAGAGAAAUGGAACUAAGUUGAACCAGAUCGUUGUGACUACUUGUCUGGCAAUCAAGAUGGAUCAGAGCGAAUGCCCUCAAUAAAUAAACAGGAAAGGAAUCGUUCUGGCAACAUCACAAUGAUUGGUUCAGAAGUCGUAGGUCAGAAAUGGCCUAAUGGGGCCGGAGAUGGAGACACAAGUCCAGUGCCAAUACAUUCAAGAGAUGGUGGCCAGGUUGAACCAGAGCCGUGUGUCACCUUGUCUGGCAAGCUGGAUGGUUCAGACCACAUUUCAUCAAAAAUUCA